AUGUUUUACAUGGAGAUACAUAAAGGGCGCGUUCGCAGUGAACACAGUCACCGGUCCGGCACUGCGCUCUUACAUUACUGCGAGAAUCAAUCCCGAAGAAAGAUGUUUCUGUUACUGCGACUGAUCCUCUGCUUCCACUAUGCGGGCUCCGUGACCAUACGCCAGACUCCGGAUUUCUCCGUAUCUCAGGGCAAGGAGGUGUUACUGGAAUGUACGGUAGAGGGUGGUAGCAGCAGCGGUGAUUACCUGUUCUGGUACAGACAAUACCCGGGAGAGGGGCUUCAGAACUUGUUUUACUCGAGUAUAGUUGGUUCCGAGCAUCCAGGUGGCUCGGUGGACGGGUUCACCGCCGACAGACCGAGUAGCAACGUCUUCAAGCUAAAGACUCCCAGUCUGUGGGCGAAUUCGUCGGCCGUGUAUUUCUGCGCCUGGAGGCUUCACGGCGGCUCAGACCGACGGAGCAGCUGA